CAGCUUCACCUGAUCUACUCCU
rnacentral:piRNA from 1 species